GUUCGCGCGCAAAAGCGCCUCUCGCGAGACUUAGCCGCUGCUUCCGACUUCCUCUUUAGGGUUCGCCCCUUUUUGUUGCUAAGGCGCCGGUUGCCUGGUUACCGUGAAGCGCAGGCCGUCAGCUUCCCUUACGCUCACUUCUACCCGGUGUUGAGUCUUCUGAGCCCCGUGACGGGGGCAGCAGGAGAAGCAAGGCCACCCCUGCAACCGCUAGUCAUCACUACAAAUUAAAGUCUCACGGCCAAAGCCAAUCCCAGGUAUAGCCAAAGUUCAAAUGCUUGCUGUUCAAAGGAGCAGAAAGCCGCCAGCGCUAAAAAAUCCGGAGGAAAAAAUCUCCAAAUGCCACGCCAGUUCUUGAAUAUAGAUGCCAUAUGAAAAAAGGCUCGAAAACCUCUUGGCCCCAAAACUGUGAGCUCCCAGAUGGCAGAUCGUGGGAUGUCUUGGCCUCCAUAACCAAUGUCAAAAUUCUGUCACUUGAAAGAGGAGAGAGAUGAAGACCAGGUUUAUAAACUCACAAGUCUACUUGUUUUUAUGAGAGAAUGGGAUGCGAGGCUAUCUUUGGAAGAUGCUGGCAGAAGAAAAUCAAACUGGGUCUUUCUCCUGAACCUGUUUAUACUGGUGAAAUCAUGUUUAAACGAAGAGCAAGUGCGUGAAGGAGGAAAAAAGAAAUCUUGAAGAGCAAUUUGAAGAGUGUGUAUAAGGG